UUCACAACAUGCUUUUAACGUAGGCGCACGCGACGCCUACAAUCAGCCACCAUUUAUGACGAUAACCAGGCACCAGCGCACCUUUUUGUUGUAGUCUGUAGAUCUGUGACCACCAGUCCUCACUCUCCUGCCUACCGUGCCGCCACACCGCCUACCACCACCGACCGGAGUGACCGAGUGAGUAAGUGAACACCGAUUAAAGUAGAGCAACUGAGCAAGGUCAUCAAAUUCAGGGUGACUCACUAGAUCCGAAAUAUUGGAUCUGCCACUGCUGUUGUAUCUUCAAGUUUGCAUUUCCCUCUAUUGGUACAGUGCUCAAACAAAAAACAUUACUUUAUCUUAUGAAACUGGUCCUUUUCUUAAGUUUUACUAAUAACUUAACCACUUAGAUAGGUGUAAUAGAUUAACCUUGGGAGGGGAGGGAUACUAUUGGCAUCAUAGUGUAUUUCUUUUAUAAGGCAGCUUGGGAAAUAGGUUGAGGAGCUUACAUUUAGGGAGGAAAUCUGUGGACAGUGAACCAGACUGAUCAAACACCACCAGACAGAACUGUCAUAUUUCCAAUUUGUGAGUGAUAACUUCUUUUUCUAAAUUUCAACUGAUCUUCUUCGACAAAUUUAUCAACUUUCCAAAUUCCAAACGUAAUAUUCUUCGAGCAAAGUCAAUUUAGAAUGACGCAAUUUUUAAAAUUGGUCCAACCUUCUGAAAACAAUUUUGAGCCUUAAUUUUCAUUAGACUUGAAAAAUGACAUACAUCUACAUACUUUUAUAAAGUUUAACUUUCAUAAAUGGGUUGUCCAUACCCACUAUAUAUGAUAUGUACCAUGAACAACAUGCUUUAAUUAAUAAAGCAGAGCUAAAAUAAACAAAGCUUGCUGCGUUUUUUUUUUUCUGCUGUAAUAACAAUAGUAUCACCAUGGUUUAUCAAUAAAAUUACCUUGUUAUAUCUGUUUUUCUUUUCUAAUGUGGUUCGUUAUCUCGGCUCAAAGUUAUAACAGCAUAACCUUGGGCUCAUCCCUCAUUGCUAGGGAUAUCUCUUUGCCUUGGGUAUCUCCCUCCAAAGACUUUGCUUUCGGGUUUCAGAAGAUUGAGUCUGGAAGUUUUCUGUUAGCCAUAUGGUUCAAUAAAAUACCCGAAAGUACCAUAACUUGCUCUGCCAACAGAGACAUUCCAGUACCCAGGGGUUCAAAAGUAGAACUUACUACAAGAAGCUUGAUACUUACUGACCCAAGUGGGCGCGAGGUAUGGAGAGCUAGGUUGUUGGCUGGCAGCAGCAGCAGGAGUGACACUUGCCUCUACAACUAUACUCGACACUGGAAACUUCGUGCUGAUGGAUCGAGCGUCUGCUGUACUUUGGCAAAGCUUUAAUGAGCCAACUGACACUCUUUUGCCUACACAGAUGCCGAAUUAAGGCAACCGACUCAUUGCAAGUUUUUUAGAAAGAAUUACUCGAGUGGCAGGUUCUCAUUUAACUUAGGAUAUAACGAAAAUCCUGCAUUAUACACCACAGAUUUCCCCCUUUUCAACACACUGAACACCAACUAUGAGACGUUCGCUGAUCAGGGAUUUGGAAGCCUAGUGGUGUUCGAUCAGUCUGGUUCAUUGUACCUUGCUGCCUUAUAACUAAUUUGAUGGUAACUAAUUUGAUGGGGUUUAUGUUGUUUCAUUGAAUGGUUGACGUAUCAUUUGCUCUUUAAUUUGAAGGAUCAAAUGGAUCAAGAAGAAGGAUUGGAGUAGCAAGUAAUGAUGUCACGAGAAACACAUUUGCAUAUUUUGUAGCUGUCGGUGUUUGGGGAGAUAGAUAGAUAGAUACUACGGAGUACAAGAUUCACUUAGAUAAACGUUUUUUUUUUCCAAGAUUGAAAAGUUCGGAGCUCCCUGCAAUUAUUGUUGUUGCUGCUGUCACUGUUACUGCUGAAUGCUACUAUCGUUUGCUGCUAUCGCUAUUUGUUGACCUGCUAGCUGGCUAGAUGCUACUGCUGUCUACUGUUAAUAAUGUUGUGUGUUGUAAUUGCGCUGACUGCUACUUUGCUCUUUCUGUUUUUGAAUUUGGUGGUCUCUAGAGACAAAGUCAGCUUUUGUGUAGUUUGAAUUAUUUGGUUUUGGGGAGAUACAUUUGGGUAUCUACAAAGCUAAAGCUUCGAUUUUUAUUGUUUAGUGACAUGCUAGGA